AUUGAACGCUGGCGGCAGGCCCAACACAUGCAAGUCGAGCGGGGUUUUCGGACCUAGCGGCGGACGGGUGAGUAAUGCGUAGGAAGCUACCCGAUAGAGGGGGAUACCAGUUGGAAACGACUGUUAAUACCGCAUAAUGUCUACGGACCAAAGUGUGGGACCUUCGGGCCACAUGCUAUCGGAUGUGCCUACGUGGGAUUAGCUAGUUGGUGAGGUAAUGGCUCACCAAGGCGACGAUCCCUAGCUGGUUUGAGAGGAUGAUCAGCCACACUGGAACUGAGACACGGUCCAGACUCCUACGGGAGGCAGCAGUGGGGAAUAUUGGACAAUGGGCGCAAGCCUGAUCCAGCCAUGCCGCGUGUGUGAAGAAGGCCUUCGGGUUGUAAAGCACUUUCAGUAAGGAGGAAGCGUUGAGUGUUAAUAGUACUCAGCGUUGACGUUACUUACAGAAGAAGCACCGGCUAACUCUGUGCCAGCCGCCGCCGUAAGAC
rnacentral:rRNA from 1 species